AGCGAACGCUGGCGGCAGGCCUAACACAUGCAAGUCGAACGGACCUUUCGGGGUUAGUGGCGGACGGGUGAGUAACACGUGGGAACGUGCCUUUAGGUUCGGAAUAAGCUCGGGAAACUGGGUCUAAUACCGAAUGUGCCCUUCGGGGGAAAGAUUUAUCGCCUUUAGAGCGGCCCGCGUCUGAUUAGCUAGUUGGUGGUGUAAUGGACCACCAAGGCGACGAUCAGUAGCUGGUCUGAGAGGAUGAUCAGCCACACUGGGAUUGAGAUACGGCCCAGACUCCUACGGGAGGCAGCAGUAAGGAAUAUUGGACAAUGGGGGAAACCCUGAUCCAGCAAUGCCGCGUGAAUGAAGAA
rnacentral:rRNA from 1 species